rnacentral:rRNA from 1 species
GAUGAACGCUAGCGACAGGCUUAAUACAUGCAAGUCGAGGGACAGCACAGGUAGCAAUACUGGGUGGUAACCGGCAAACGGGUGCGGAACACGUACACAACCUUCCUUUAAGUGGGGGAUAGCCCAGAGAAAUUUGGAUUAAUACCCCGUAAUAUAGUUGAAUGGCAUCAUUUGAUUAUUAUAGCUACGGCGCUUAAUGAUGGGUGUGCGGCUGAUUAGAUAGUUGGCGGGGUAACGGCCCACCAAGUCUACGAUCAGUAGCUGAUGUGAGAGCAUGAUCAGCCACACGGGCACUGAGACACGGGCCCGACUCCUACGGGAGGCAGCAGUAAGGAAUAUUGGUCAAUGGACGCAAGUCUGAACCAGCCUUGCCGCGUGAAGGAUUAAGGUCCUCUGGAUUGUAAACUUCUUUUAUUUGGGACGAAAAAGGGCCUUUCUAGGUCAACUGACGGUACCAGAUGAAUAAGCACCGGCUAACUCCGUGCCAGCAGCCGCUGUAAUAC